GGGUUGCGGAGGGUGGGCCCAGGAGCGGUGGCGGCCAUUUUUUAAGUCUAACCCUAACUGAAAGAGGCGUAGGCGCUGCGCUUUUGCUUCACGCGCGCUGUUUUUCUCGCUGACUUUCAGCGGGCGGAAAAGCCUCGGCCUACCGCCAUCCACCAUCCAGUCUGAAACAAACAAAAAAUGUCAGCCUCUGGCUCGCUCACUGCUCCCGGGAACCUGCGGUGGUUCGCCCGCCCAGCCCCCGCGCCCCGCCUGAGGCCGCGGUCGGCCCGGGGCUUCUCCGGAGGCGCCCAUUGCCGCCGCGAAGAGUUGGGCUCUGUCAGCCGCGGGUCCCUCGGGGGCCAAGGCGAGGCUCUGACCGCAGGGAAAGGAACGGAGUUGGUCCCCGCGCGCUGUGCGCUUCCCUAAGCUGUGGGCUGUGCACCUGGGACUCGGCUCAGACACUU
rnacentral:telomerase_RNA from 9 species